CAUUUCUCUGAUCUGUUGGCUGAGCUAUGAGCUAAAAGUCAUUCAUAAUUCAAUAUCUUCCGCUCCCCAUUUCCUACUCCAGAUUCAAGAAGAGAGCGAGGAGAGGGAAAUGUGGCCUCAUCUGUAAAAACUGCACAAAAGCACAGAUCUGGCCCUUGACUCUUGUGGAUAAAGAAAGAGUUGAGACUAGCAGAGCAUUUAUAUUCCAGGUAGCUCCUUGUGAAUAAUUAAUGAGGGUAUGGUUUUCUCUGAGUGGCUAGGAGAACAGUACGCCUUGGAUGGCUCUCACGGAGCAAACAUCAGGAAAGCUUUUGAGUGGCCAUGUCUCCGAUUUGGGACAGGAAUGCUUGGAGAAUCCUUUUCUGAAUAUCGACAGGGAGGUGCUAGCUCUAGCCUGGGGAGUACCAAAGAAUUUCUUCCCCUUACAAAAGAACAUCAUGGCAUUCAGCAUAAGUCAAAGACAAAGAGAGGAAGGCAAGAAGGGGUACGAAACAGAAUGGCGUGGGGCUGCUGGUCGCUGCAUGAGCAAGCACAAGUCACAUCUUUGAUUGGGAAGGUCAACCUGGGACCACUGUUGUUUUCCCCCCGAGUCUGCAAUGGGCCUACUUUAUGCUAAAUUCCUGACCGAGGGUCGCAGGAGGUGCUGGAGCUUAUCUCAGUGUGCGCUGGGUGAGAGGCAGGAAUACACCCUGGACAUGAAGAACAAACUUGAUUGGUGAAAUAAAGCCAGAUGAACAGGCAGAGCCACAGUAUUUGCCCUCCACUGUCCACCCCUGUUGCUACCAGACAACAAUCAGCUAAACAGCCUUCAUUAUGCAUGAGAAGCCAAUGGAGAACUUUAGCUUGUUCACAAUGACUCCCCUCCAUACAGCUUGAGCUACAGAUUCCACUUGCAUUUGUGGUGUGGAGUUAAUUCAAAGUAUUUUUAAAAAUGUGUAUUUGUUUAUUUGAAUGUAUCAACCAUUAGGAGAAAAUAAGAAAUAAUUAUACAAUGUCUGUCUGAGAGGGGUGAGUGAGACCGCAAAGCUAUUGUUUUCAAAAGGGAAAGAGCCAUGAACAGCAGUCAUCAACCUCCAGCAUGCACUGGGGCCUUCAGAGACGCUGGACAGAGGGCUCAUUCAUGGCCACAGUUUCCCUGCAGUUUACCCGGCUUGAAUGAGUAAUCAGCCCAACUGCUCUGCCUGAACCCAGAGGAAACUGCCAAGAAUCACCUAAUGAAGAGAAACCACCCUGUUGUGCUCUUGUGCCAUCACGCCACAUACGAAGACUCCAAACUGCGGCCGAUUUCAACUGCUUCAGGCCGAGGGACUCUAACUCUCCCUUAAUCUCCAGUUAGAAUUUGUUUUGCAGACUUUAAGGAUUCGUUAUUUUUCUUCUUUAUGAGUUUGUCUUUUUUUGUGUGUGUUGACAAUUGUUCUUCCUAUUUCCCCUAUAAUGGAAUGUAAUAAAUACAGUUUUCAGGCUUCCGACAGAGCUUGGCCUCAAUGUAUUAAUGUUAUUCUGCACACAUUUAUGUCAAUCAUUUUAUGGUACAAAUAAUGU